rnacentral:rRNA from 1 species
GAUGAACGCUGGCGGCGUGCAUAACACAUUCAAGUCGAACGGACUUAAUUGCUUCGGUGAUUAAGUUAGUGGCGGACGGGUGAGUAACGCGUGAGUAACCUGCCUGUAUGAGUGGAAUAACACAGGGAAACUUGUGCUAAUACCGCAUAAUAUGUGAGAUUCGCAUGUAUUUCACAUCAAAGAGCAAUCGCAUACAGAUGGACUCGCGUCUGAUUAGCUAGUUGGUAAGGUAACGGCUUACCAAGGCGACGAUCAGUAGCCGAACUGAGAGGUUGAACGGCCACAUUGGAACUGAGAAACGGUCCAG